rnacentral:rRNA from 1 species
GACGGAGGGUGCUAGCGUUGUUCGGAAUGACUGGGCGUAAAGGGCGCGUAGGCGGCCGCUUGCGUCGGAUGUGAAAGCCCGGGGCUCAACCCCGGAACGGCAUCCGAUACGGGGCGGCUCGAGACCGAGAGAGGUGAGUGGAAUACCCAGUGUAGAGGUGAAAUUCGUAGAUAUUGGGUGGAACACCGGUGGCGAAAGCGGCUCACUGGCUCGGUUCUGACGCUGAGGCGCGAAAGCGUGGGGGAGCAAACAGG